GACGAACGCUGGCGGCGUGCUUAACACAUGCAAGUCGAACGGAAAGGCCCUGCUUGCAGGGUACUCGAGUGGCGAACGGGUGAGUAACACGUGGGUGAUCUGCCCUGCACUUCGGGAUAAGCCUGGGAAACUGGGUCUAAUACCGGAUAGGAGCCAUUUUUAGUGUGAUGGUUGGAAAGUUUUUUCGGUGUAGGAUGAGCUCGCGGCCUAUCAGCUUGUUGGUGGGGUAAUGGCCUACCAAGGCGGCGACGGGUAGCCGGCCUGAGAGGGUGGACGGCCACAUGGGAACGGGGUUAGGGCCAGGCCCCUAAGGGAGGGAAGAGGGGGGGAAAUUGGCACAAGGGCGCAAGCCUGAUGCAGCGACGCCGCGUGGGGGAUGACGGCCUUCGGGUUGUAAACUCCUUUCGCUAGGGACGAAGCUUUUUGUGACGGUACCUAGAUAAGAAGCACCGGCUAACUACGUG
rnacentral:rRNA from 1 species